GAUAAUCAACUCCAAGUAUAUAUGUCUAACUGUGAUCCUUGUGAAAUCGCCAUGUGUUAGUUUGUGAAAUUGUUUAAUAAUUGAUAUUCAUGUGGGGAUCAUUGUGAAGCUCUUGUGAUGUAUACUUGUGUGGUAACUCCUUGUGGUGGAAGUUGAGGAACUUGUAAUUGAAGGAGAUUGGAAAUGGUGGAAAUGGAUAUAAUGUGGAACAAAGUGUAUGAUUGGUUGUGAACAACUGUUGAUGGUAUCCCAAAUUGUGUACAAAUUGAUAACAUGAGGA
rnacentral:lncRNA from 1 species